rnacentral:ribozyme from 1 species
AAAGUCAGAAAAACCAAAAAAAGAAAAAAAGGAAAUGGCCGAAUGCGUAUUUUUUAUGUAUAUUCACAUGUG